AACGAACGCUGGCGGCGUGGAUUAGGCAUGCAAGUCGAACGCGAAAGAGGGGGCAACUCCUCGAGUAGAGUGGCGAACGGGUGAGUAACGCGUGAAGAACCUGCCUUCAACAGGGGGAUAACACUCCCAACGGGGUGCUAAUACCGCAUGAGACCACGGGGUCGCAUGGCCCUGAGGUCAAAGGUGGCCUCUAUUUAUAAGCUACCGGUUGAAGAUGGCUUCGCGUCCCAUUAGCUAGUUGGCGGUGUAAAAGACCACCAAGGCGACGAUGGGUAGCUGGUCUGAGAGGAUGGUCAGCCACACCGGGACUGAGAUACGGUCCAGACUCCUACGGGAGGCAGCAGUGAGGAAUAUUGCGCAAUGGGGGCAACCCUGACGCAGCAACGCCGCGUGAGUGAGGAAGGUUUUCGGACCGUAAAGCUCUGUCGAGCGGGAAGAAAUGCAUGGUGGCUAAUAUCCAUCAUGCUUGACGGUACCGCUAGAGGAAGCACCGGCUAACUCCGUGCCAGCCGCCGCAGUAAGAC
rnacentral:rRNA from 1 species